rnacentral:rRNA from 1 species
GGAAUAUUGGACAAUGGGCGCAAGCCUGAUCCAGCCAUGCCGCGUGUGUGAAGAAGGCCUUCGGGUUGUAAAGCACUUUCAGCGAGGAGGAAGGGUGUUGUGUUAAUAGCACAGCAUUUUGACGUUACUCGCAGAAGAAGCACCGGCUAACUCCGUGCCAGCAGCCGCGGUAAUACGGAGGGUGCGAGCGUUAAUCGGAAUUACUGGGCGUAAAGCGCAUGCAGGUGGUUUGUUAAGUCAGAUGUGAAAGCCCGGGGCUCAACCUCGGAAUAGCAUUUGAAACUGGCAGACUAGAGUACUGUAGAGGGGGGUAGAAUUUCAGGUGUAGCGGUGAAAUGCGUAGAGAUCUGAAGGAAUACCGGUGGCGAAGGCGGCCCCCUGGACAGAUACUGACACUCAGAUGCGAAAGCGUGGGGAGCAAACAGGAUUAGAAACCCCAGUAGUCC